UCCAUCCAAAACCAGCUGCGGUCGCGGCCCCACGCUUACCCGUGGCGGUACGCGCCGCACGUCUGCACCCUUUUUUUACGAGUACCUUCGUUCUCCCUCGGCAGGGCAACCUGCCGUUGGAACCAUACAAAACCUUUUUUUGCAUCUAGCAUUACCUGUUCUGAUACAAACAAUCGUUA
rnacentral:misc_RNA from 3 species